rnacentral:misc_RNA from 1 species
UUUCCGUAGGUGAACCUGCGGAAGGAUCAUUAUUGUAUAACCGAGGUGCGAGGGCUGUCGCUGACCCGAAAGGUCGUGCACGCCCGAGUGCCCUCACACGCAUCCAUCUCACCCCUAUGUGCACCACCGCGUGGGUCCCCCUUUGGCUUGUUCGGAGGGGGGCUUACGUUUUCACACAAACUUUGUAUGCAGUGUAGAAUGUAUUUUUGUUUUUGCGAUCACGCAAUCAAUACAACUUUCAACAACGGAUCUCUUGGCUCUC